AGGACGAACGCUGGCGGCGUGCUUAACACAUGCAAGUCACGGGGGCCCGCAAGGGUAACCGGCGAACGGGUGCGUAACACGUGAGCAACCUGCCUAGAUGUGGGGGAUAGCCGGCCCAACGGCCGGGUAAUACCGCAUACGGUCACGAGGAGGAGUCUCCUUGUGAAGAAACCUCCGGGGCAUUUAGAGGGGCUCGCGGCCUAUCAGCUAGUUGGCGGGGUAAUGGCCCACCAAGGCUUCGACGGGUAGCUGGUCUGAGAGGAUGGCCAGCCACAUUGGGACUGAGACACGGCCCAGACUCCUACGGGAGGCAGCAGCGAGGAAUUUUGCGCAAUGGGGGCAACCCUGACGCAGCAACGCCGCGUGGGUGAUGAAGGCUCUCGGGUCGUAAAGCCCUUUUGUCGGGACGACACCGACGGUACCGACGAAGAAGCCACGGCUAACUCGUGCCAGCAGCCGC
rnacentral:rRNA from 1 species